rnacentral:rRNA from 1 species
AGCGAACGCUGGCGGCAGGCCUAACACAUGCAAGUCGAACGGAUCCUUCGGGAUUAGUGGCGGACGGGUGAGUAACACGUGGGAACGUGCCCUUUGGUUCGGAACAACUCAGGGAAACUUGAGCUAAUACCGGAUGUGCCCUUCGGGGGAAAGAUUUAUCGCCAUUGGAGCGGCCCGUGUCUGAUUAGCUAGUUGGUGAGGUAAAGGCUCACCAAGGCGACGAUGAGUAGCUGGUCUGAGAGGAUGAUCAGCAACAUUGGGACUGAGACACGGCCCAAACUCCUACGGGAGGCAGCAGUGGGGAAUCUUGCGCAAUGGGCGAAAGCCUGACGCAGCCAUGCCGCGUGAAUGAUGAAGGUCUUAGGAUUGUAAAAUUCUUUCACCGGGGACGAUAAUGACGGUACCCGGAGAAGAAGCCCCGGCUAACUUCGUGCCAGCAGCCGCAGUAA